rnacentral:lncRNA from 1 species
GGGAAAGCGCCGAGAGCAGGGGGAGGAGGGAGGUGGGCGCAGGGGGUUGGGGGGGAGAAGCCCCCCGCCACCGGAAAGCACUAAUUUGGAAAGCACUAAUUCGGAUAAUUAGGACGUUGAGCCGUUAUGAAAAACCCAGCCCCGGAGCGGCGGGGUGGGUGGGCUGGGAAUGGGGGGGGUCAGAGGGGGGGGGCCCCAACCUGAGGGCGGAGAGGGAUUGGGGAAGGGGAGCCUGGCAAGCUGGCAGCCCCCUCCCCAAAUUCGCAGCUGCUGUCGGAUGCCAUCGCCGUUGGCCCCCCCCACUCACGCACUAUUAACUCCAGCGGCGGAGGGCAGGGAUGGGGGGGCGAGGGGUGAGGGGGGGGCAGGCUGACAAAGGGCCCCCCCCUCGCUAAUUGGUGCCGCUCGGCCCCCCUGCCCUCCCUCCGGCCCUCUGCCCCUGCCCCGGUGGGGACAGCUUAGGGCUCUGCUGCAAAGAGCAGCGCUGCCCGGCCCUCCUCAGCAUCAGCCUCAUCUUCAUCCUCAUCAUCCUCACCCUCAUCCUCAUCUUCAUCUUCAUCCUCAUCCUCAUCACCCUCAUCCUCAUCAUCCUCAUCCUCUUCCUCAUCCUCAUCUUCAUCCUCAUCUUCACCCUCAUCCUCAUCCUCAUCAUCCUCAUCCUCUUCCUCAUCCUUGUCCUCAUCCUCAUCAUCCUCACCCUCAUCGUCCUCAUCCUCACCCUCACCUUCAUCCUCAUCAUCACCCAUAUUAUCCUUAUCCUCAUUGUCCUCACCCUCAUCUUCACCCUCAUCCUCAUCCUCACCCUCAUCAUCCUCAUCACUCUCACCCUCAUCAUCAUCACCUUCAUCAUCCUCACCCUCAUCAUCCUUGCCCUCAUCCUCACCCUCGCCCUCAUCAUCCUCACCCUCAUCCUCACCCUUGUCUUCAUCAUCCUCACCCUCACUCUCAUCAUCCUCACCCUCAUCCUCCUCAUCCUCACCCUCAUUCACAUCCUCACCCUCACCAUCCUCACCUUCACCUUCAUCCUCACCCUCUUCACCCUCACCCUCACCCUCAUCCUCACUCUCAUCCUCACCCUUAUCUUCAUCAUCCUCACCCUCAUCCUCCUCACCCUGCUCCACAGGGCCCUGGGCACGGGGCAGAGCCUGGCACAGACGCCCCUGUGCCACGGGCUCACCGGAGGCUGGGUUUGGGUCAAUUUGGGCGACAAACCUGGUGCGUGGCUGCCACAACCAGCCCCAGGGUGGCCGGGUUGGUGCCCAGGACUCGUGCGAGGCUCAGCGCUGCCCAAGGGGGUCCCACAUCCAAAUUUCACACCCGAAUUUUAUCCAAAACGCUCGGCGAGGCCACUCUGGGGCACGGCGCAGACCCCAGGACGGGGGGCACGGAUCCGAGCUGCUGCCUCGAGGGCGACUUUGGGCACCAAGCCCUGGCCCUGAGGGCGAUUUUGGGCACCAAGCCCUUGCCCCGAGGGCGACUUUGGGCACCUCGUGCACCCUGAGGGCGACUUUGGGCACCUCGUGCGCCCUGAGGGCCACUUUGGGCACCUCGUGCGC